rnacentral:lncRNA from 1 species
GUUUUAUCAACAUUUUUUCUGUAAUUUUCUUCUUUUUAAUGUAGGUAUUAACUAUGGCAGAAGAUGAAGAUUCGAGACAGUUUUCCUAUUGAAUUUCUUUUGUCCAAUAUUUGAAAAAUCUGACCUGUUGUUCAAACUCUUGCAGACAGAGGAUUCAGACAUUGUUACUUGCCUCAACAUGAUAAGAUAAUUUCUAGUCUACUUGGAACAUCUAAGAAAUGAUGAAACUUUAUUAUGUAAUCCAUGCAAAGCUCAGACUCUCAGGGCGGUAAAUUGCAAGAAUUGCAAAAAACAAGGGUUUGACCUACAAUGGGAAAAAAUUGUUGAAAUGAAAGGUCCUCCAGAAGUUUCAAGGAAGAGAAACAACCAAG